rnacentral:rRNA from 1 species
ACGAACGCUGGCGGCGUGCCUAACACAUGCAAGUCGAACGAGGUCCAUGCAGUGGCAACACUGCGGAAGGCCUAGUGGCGAACGGGUGAGUAACACGUGAGGAACUUGCCCCGGAGACCGGGAUAACUCUCCGAAAGGAGAGCUAAUACCGGAUACCUCCAUCUUACCGCAUGGUCGGAUGAAGAAAUGGAUUCCGCUCCGGGAGAGCCUCGCGGCCUAUCAGCUUGUUGGUGGGGUAACGGCCCACCAAGGCGUCGACGGGUAGCUGGUCUGGGAGGACGAUCAGCCACACUGGGACUGAGACACGGCCCAGACUCCUACGGGAGGCAGCAGUGGGGAAUCUUGCGCAAUGGGCGAAAGCCUGACGCAGCAACGCCGCGUGCGGGAUGAAGGCCCUCGGGUUGUAAACCGCUUUCAGUGGGGACGAACCAAGACGGUACCCACAGAAGAAGCCCCGGCCAACUACGU